rnacentral:rRNA from 1 species
AUUGAACGCUGGCGGCAGGCUUAACACAUGCAAGUCGAGCGGGGAAAGGUAGCUUGCUACUUAACCUAGCGGCGGACGGGUGAGUAAUGCUUAGGAAUCUGCCUAUUAGUGGGGGACAACAUCUCGAAAGGGAUGCUAAUACCGCAUACGUCCUACGGGAGAAAGCAGGGGACCUUCGGGCCUUGCGCUAAUAGAUGAGCCUAAGUCGGAUUAGCUAGGUGGUGGGGUAAAGGCCUACCAAGGCGACGAUCUGUAGCGGGUCUGAGAGGAUGAUCCGCCACACUGGGACUGAGACACGGCCCAGACUCCUACGGGAGGCAGCAGUGGGGAAUAUUGGACAAUGGGGGGAACCCUGAUCCAGCCAUGCCGCGUGUGUGAAGAAGGCCUUUUGGUUGUAAAGCACUUUAAGCGAGGAGGAGGCUACCGAGAUUAAUACUCUUGGAUAGUGGACGUUACUCGCAGAAUAAGCACCGGCUAACUCUGUGCCAGCCGCCGCUGUAACAC